AAUAUUGCACAAUGGGCGAAAGCCUGAUGCAGCAACGCCGCGUGAGCGAUGAAGGCUUUCGAGUCGUAAAGCUCUGUCCUAAGGGAAGAUAAUGACGGUACCUUAGGAGGAAGCCCCGGCUAGCUACGUGCCAGCAGCCGCGGUAAUACGUAGGGGGCAAGCGUUAUCCGGAAUCAUUGGGCGUAAAGGGUGCGUAGGCGGCCCUAUGGGUCAGAGGUUAAAGGCUACGGCUCAACCGUAGUAAGCCUUUGAAACUGUAGGGCUUGAGUGCAGGAGAGGAGAGUGGAAUUCCUAGUGUAGCGGUGAAAUGCGUAGAUAUUAGGAGGAACACCAGUGGCGAAGGCGACUCUCUGGACUGCAACUGACGCUGAGGGACGAAAGCCAGGGGAGCAAACGGG
rnacentral:rRNA from 1 species